rnacentral:rRNA from 1 species
AUACGGAGGGGGCUAGCGUUGUUCGGAAUUACUGGGCGUAAAGCGCACGUAGGCGGAUUGAUAAGUUAGGGGUGAAAUCCCGAGGCUCAACCUCGGAACUGCCUCUAAUACUGUCAAUCUCGAGACCGGAAGAGGUGAGUGGAACUCCUAGUGUAGAGGUGGAAUUCGUAGAUAUUAGGAAGAACACCAGUGGCGAAGGCGGCUCACUGGUCCGGUACUGACGCUGAGGUGCGAAAGCGUGGGGAGCGAACAGGAUUAGAAACCCUAGUAGUCC